rnacentral:lncRNA from 1 species
CCCUUAGCCCCUGUACCUCUAGUCAUGCCCUGGAGCUUUGCUCUGGCUCUGAUUGCAAGGAGUAUAUCCUUCUUAUUAAAAGAGAGAGAAGCCUGUUAGCAUUUAACGAGGCUAUCUGAUAGCACCAGAAUAGAAGGUAGUGAGUAACAGAGUCUCACUCUGUCUACCAGGCUGGACUGAAGUGGUGCGAUCUUGGCUCACUGCAACCUCUGCCUCCCGGGUUCAAGUGAUUCUCCGGCCUCAGCCUCUUCACUAAGCUGGGAUUAUAGACUGGCGCCACCAUGCCCCGCUAAUUUUUUUGUAUUUUCAGUAGAGAUGGGGUUUCGCUAUGUUGACUAGGCUGGUCUCAAACUCCUGGCCUCAAGUGAUCCGCCUGCCUUGGCUUCCCAAAGUGCUGGGAUUACAGGUGUAAACCACUGUGCCUGGCCAAUAAUUAUAUUUUAAAAUAUUCCUUUUUCUUCCCCCUCUAUCAAUCAAUGGGCACUUAUGGAUGUUAAGAGUUUCAGUCUUUUUCCUUCUUCCCUUUUUAAAAAAAGUAAAUGAGACUGGGCACAGUGGCUCAUACCUGUAAUCCCAGGCUGAGGCUGGUGGAUCACUUGAGGCUAGGAGUUCGAGACCAACCUGGCCAACAUGGUGAAACCACAUCUUUACUAAAAAAUACGAAAAUUGGCAGGGCAAGGUGGCACAUGCAUGUAGUACCAGCUACUCGGGAGGCUGAGGCACGAGAAUUGCUUGAACCCAGGAGGCAGAGGGUGCUGUGAGCCGAGAUUGCCCCACUGCACUGCAGCCUGGGUGACAGAGAGAGAGACUCUGUCUAAAAAAAGUAAAUGAUUAGUACAUAACUUGUAUUACCAAAUGACUUGCCCAACAUUGUUAGUUAAUGGAAACCAAUGAUAUCCCUAGUAACUGUCAGGGCUAAGAAGUUCAUUUUUAUAGCCUGUUACGAAAAAGUUUUGAAAUAAACCAACAUAUUUAUACUUGAGAGAGUAGUUGUCUGUUUAUUAUUUUAAAUAGACCAGAACUAUGAUUGGUGAGAGACAAAUUAUUUUUAAGAUAUUUCCUUAAGUUUUUGAUUUACGGAUUACACAGACCAAAAAGCUUACAAUUUUCCUUAGGAUCUGAGCUUAGUCUCAGGAUAAUAGGUAAUAAAUAUUGACUUCUAGGCUUGAAUACUGGCCCAGAAGUCAAUGUUUUAAAGAACUUGAAUUCCCAGCCUUUUUCCUUUUUUCCUUUUUUUUUUUUUUGGCUCUGGUCAAUGUGUAGAUUAAGUGAUGUGUAAUUCAAGAGUUUUUAAAAUGUUGUUACCUGAACAGGUGGGUUAAUAGGAAAUUAUAUUGAGUGCUAGAUCAGAGCAUUG